rnacentral:misc_RNA from 1 species
GAUGAAGAACGUAGCGAAAUGCGAUAAGUAAUGUGAAUUGCAGAAUUCAGUGAAUCAUCGAAUCUUUGAACGCACAUUGCGCCCCUUGGUAUUCCGAGGGGCAUGCCUGUUCGAGCGUCAUUACACCACUCAAGCUAUGCUUGGUAUUGGGCGUCGUCCUUAGUUGGGCGCGCCUUAAAGACCUCGGCGAGGCCACUCCGGCUUUAGGCGUAGUAGAAUUUAUUCGAACGUCUGUCAAAGGAGAGGAACUCUGCCGACUGAAACCUUUAUUUUUCUAGGUUGACCUCGGAUCAGGUAGGGAUAUCCGCUGAACUUAAGCAUAUCAAUAAGCGGAGGA